GCCGAAGUGGCGGAAUUGGCAGACGCGCUAGGUUCAGGACCUAGUGGUCGCAAGGCCGUCGGGGUUCGACUCCCCGCUUCGGCACCA
rnacentral:tRNA from 1 species